UACGAAGGGGGCUAGCGUUGUUCGGAUUUACUGGGCGUAAAGCGCACGUAGGCGGACUGUUAAGUCAGGGGUGAAAUCCCGGAGCUCAGCUCCGGAACUGCCUUUGAUACUGGCAAUCUUGAGGCUGGAAGAGGUUAGUGGAAUUCCCAGUGUAGAGGUGAAAUUCGUAGAUAUUGGGAAGAACACCAGUGGCGAAGGCGGCUAACUGGUCCAGAUCUGACGCUGAGGUGCGAAAGCGUGGGGAGCAAACAGG
rnacentral:rRNA from 1 species